GGUUAAGCGACUAAGCGUACACGGUGGAUGCCCUGGCAGUCAGAGGCGAUGAAGGACGUGCUAAUCUGCGAUAAGCGUCGGUAAGGUGAUAUGAACCGUUAUAACCGGCGAUUUCCGAAUGGGGAAACCCAGUGUGAUUCGUCACACUAUCAUUAACUGAAUCCAUAGGUUAAUGAGGCGAACCGGGGGAACUGAAACAUCUAAGUACCCCGAGGAAAAGAAAUCAACCGAGAUUCCCCCAGUAGCGGCGAGCGAACGGGGAGCAGCCCAGAGCCUGAAUCAGUGUGUGUGUUAGUGGAAGCGUCUGGAAAGGCGCGCGAUACAGGGUGACAGCCCCGUACACAAAAAUGCACAUGCUGUGAGCUCGAUGAGUAGGGCGGGACACGUGGUAUCCUGUCUGAAUAUGGGGGGACCAUCCUCCAAGGCUAAAUACUCCUGACUGACCGAUAGUGAACCAGUACCGUGAGGGAAAGGCGAAAAGAACCCCGGCGAGGGGAGUGAAAAAGAACCUGAAACCGUGUACGUACAAGCAGUGGGAGCACGCUUAGGCGUGUGACUGCGUACCUUUUGUAUAAUGGGUCAGCGACUUAUAUUCUGUAGCAAGGUUAACCGAAUAGGGGAGCCGAAGGGAAACCGAGUCUUAACUGGGCGUUAAGUUGCAGGGUAUAGACCCGAAACCCGGUGAUCUAGCCAUGGGCAGGUUGAAGGUUGGGUAACACUAACUGGAGGACCGAACCGACUAAUGUUGAAAAAUUAGCGGAUGACUUGUGGCUGGGGGUGAAAGGCCAAUCAAACCGGGAGAUAGCUGGUUCUCCCCGAAAGCUAUUUAGGUAGCGCCUCGUGAAUUCAUCUCCGGGGGUAGAGCACUGUUUCGGCAAGGGGGUCAUCCCGACUUACCAACCCGAUGCAAACUGCGAAUACCGGAGAAUGUUAUCACGGGAGACACACGGCGGGUGCUAACGUCCGUCGUGAAGAGGGAAACAACCCAGACCGCCAGCUAAGGUCCCAAAGUCAUGGUUAAGUGGGAAACGAUGUGGGAAGGCCCAGACAGCCAGGAUGUUGGCUUAGAAGCAGCCAUCAUUUAAAGAAAGCGUAAUAGCUCACUGGUCGAGUCGGCCUGCGCGGAAGAUGUAACGGGGCUAAACCAUGCACCGAAGCUGCGGCAGCGACGCUUAUGCGUUGUUGGGUAGGGGAGCGUUCUGUAAGCCUGCGAAGGUGUGCUGUGAGGCAUGCUGGAGGUAUCAGAAGUGCGAAUGCUGACAUAAGUAACGAUAAAGCGGGUGAAAAGCCCGCUCGCCGGAAGACCAAGGGUUCCUGUCCAACGUUAAUCGGGGCAGGGUGAGUCGACCCCUAAGGCGAGGCCGAAAGGCGUAGUCGAUGGGAAACAGGUUAAUAUUCCUGUACUUGGUGUUACUGCGAAGGGGGGACGGAGAAGGCUAUGUUGGCCGGGCGACGGUUGUCCCGGUUUAAGCGUGUAGGCUGGUUUUCCAGGCAAAUCCGGAAAACUAAGGCUGAGGCGUGAUGACGAGGCACUACGGUGCUGAAGCAACAAAUGCCCUGCUUCCAGGAAAAGCCUCUAAGCAUCAGGUAACAUCAAAUCGUACCCCAAACCGACACAGGUGGUCAGGUAGAGAAUACCAAGGCGCUUGAGAGAACUCGGGUGAAGGAACUAGGCAAAAUGGUGCCGUAACUUCGGGAGAAGGCACGCUGAUAUGUAGGUGAAGUCCCUCGCGGAUGGAGCUGAAAUCAGUCGAAGAUACCAGCUGGCUGCAACUGUUUAUUAAAAACACAGCACUGUGCAAACACGAAAGUGGACGUAUACGGUGUGACGCCUGCCCGGUGCCGGAAGGUUAAUUGAUGGGGUUAGCGCAAGCGAAGCUCUUGAUCGAAGCCCCGGUAAACGGCGGCCGUAACUAUAACGGUCCUAAGGUAGCGAAAUUCCUUGUCGGGUAAGUUCCGACCUGCACGAAUGGCGUAAUGAUGGCCAGGCUGUCUCCACCCGAGACUCAGUGAAAUUGAACUCGCUGUGAAGAUGCAGUGUACCCGCGGCAAGACGGAAAGACCCCGUGAACCUUUACUAUAGCUUGACACUGAACAUUGAGCCUUGAUGUGUAGGAUAGGUGGGAGGCUUGGAAGUGUGGACGCCAGUCUGCAUGGAGCCGACCUUGAAAUACCACCCUUUAAUGUUUGAUGUUCUAACGUUGACCCGUAAUCCGGGUUGCGGACAGUGUCUGGUGGGUAGUUUGACUGGGGCGGUCUCCUCCUAAAGAGUAACGGAGGAGCACGAAGGUUGGCUAAUCCUGGUCGGACAUCAGGAGGUUAGUGCAAUGGCAUAAGCCAGCUUGACUGCGAGCGUGACGGCGCGAGCAGGUGCGAAAGCAGGUCAUAGUGAUCCGGUGGUUCUGAAUGGAAGGGCCAUCGCUCAACGGAUAAAAGGUACUCCGGGGAUAACAGGCUGAUACCGCCCAAGAGUUCAUAUCGACGGCGGUGUUUGGCACCUCGAUGUCGGCUCAUCACAUCCUGGGGCUGAAGUAGGUCCCAAGGGUAUGGCUGUUCGCCAUUUAAAGUGGUACGCGAGCUGGGUUUAGAACGUCGUGAGACAGUUCGGUCCCUAUCUGCCGUGGGCGCUGGAGAACUGAGGGGGGCUGCUCCUAGUACGAGAGGACCGGAGUGGACGCAUCACUGGUGUUCGGGUUGUCAUGCCAAUGGCACUGCCCGGUAGCUAAAUGCGGAAGAGAUAAGUGCUGAAAGCAUCUAAGCACGAAACUUGCCCCGAGAUGAGUUCUCCCUGACUCCUUGAGAGUCCUGAAGGAACGUUGAAGACGACGACGUUGAUAGGCCGGGUGUGUAAGCGCAGCGAUGCGUUGAGCUAACCGGUACUAAUGAACCGUGAGGCUUAACCUU
rnacentral:rRNA from 1 species